GAUGAACGCUGGCGGCGUGCCUAAUACAUGCGAGUCGAGCGAACAGACGAGGAGCUUGCUCCUCUGACGUUAGCGGCGGACGGGUGAGUAACACGUGGAUAACCUACCUAUAAGACUGGGAUAACUUCGGGAAACCGGCGCUAAUACCGGAUAAUAUAUUGAACCGCAUGGUUCAAUAGUGAAAGACGGUUUUGCUGUCACUUAUAGAUGGAUCCGCGCCGCAUUAGCUAGUUGGUAAGGUAACGGCUUACCAAGGCGACGAUGCGUAGCCGACCUGAGAGGGUGAUCGGCCACACUGGAACGGAGACAGGGUCCAGACUCCUACGGGAGGCAGCAGUAGGGAAUCUUCCGCAAUGGGCGAAAGCCUGACGGAGCAACGCCGCGUGAGUGAUGAAGGUCUUCGGAUCGUAAAACUCUGUUAUUAGGGAAGAACAAAUGUGUAAGUAACUAUGCACGUCUUGACGGUACCUAAUCAGAAAGCCACGGCUAACUACGUG
rnacentral:rRNA from 1 species